CAAUCAUUACACUCUUACUCAAGUGCGAGGAGUGCACUUUAUAAUUAACUACUCAAAACGGCAGUUGGGCGAGGUAACAUCUCAUGUGUUCGAGAAACACCAGCUCGCUCAAGGAAAUAAUCGCAUCCGAAAGGCCUUACGACAGAACUUACACCUCUCUCUUUCCCUCUUACUGUCCCUCUUUAUCUCGCCCCUCGAUGCCGAAGGCGAACCGUUCUGAACUAGCGAGUGAUGUAUCGCGUUCGAUAAUACCGUGCCGAUUGCUUAUCCAGCCGUUUAACGACAAACGAACAUGACAGUUUCGCUGCUGGAAACAAGGCCGGAGAGCAAACCGGAGCAGCGGCCAACGAAGCGCGGCGUUCAUAUACAGUGAGCGCAUCCUGUCGCAUCGAACGGUACCGUUCGUCUCGACGCUCUACGUACCGUUUUGGGUUCCACGUUAUUGCGGCGGACACGCCGGAUUCAUUUCCGCGUGUAUAACCGCACGCACGCACUUCCUGUCAGAGAUAUGAGAACACGCGAAAGCUACGCUGUAAACGACUCUGAAAAACGCACGCUGUCGGCCAUAUUUUCACUUUCUUGGUUCACCGUAGAGGCUAGAGGCAGGGCUUCCAACUCCGUGACGGUAGUCAGGCGGGAGUAGAGUGGAGGGGAUGCGCGCGCAGCCGUGCUCAAGUGCGCGCACGCGCACCGCCGCGCCGCGGUGUAGCGUCACUUUUGGCGCGUGAAGUUGACCGCGCAAGAGACGAAACCACGCUAUAUUAACUACAUUCACGUCCUUUCCAGAACACGACGGACACGGGGCGGGCCGGCUCCGGAGCGAGUGGCAUUGCGGAUUAUUUAAUUGAACGCGGCGGACGCGGGACGGACCGGCUCCGGAAUGAGUGGCGUCGCAGAGUCUUUAACAGAACAAGGCAGGCGCAUAACGGAUCGAAAGCGGAGCGAGCUGCGUCGCAGCUUGUUUAAUAGUACUCGUUCGAGCGAAGAUCAUAACUUGAUGCGCAUCGCGACACUCGAUCGUGGCGCAUCAAGUUGAUCGCACGGGAGAUGAAAUAGCUUCGCCAUUGCAAUUGCGUUUAUGUCUGCAGAACGCGUUGGACACUUUCACAAGACGCGGGACAGAAUGAUUCAGUAGCAUCGCGACACUUUAAUUGAUUGUGGCGGAUGCGAGACAGAUUUGCUCCGAAAUAAAUGGCAUCACAACUUGUGAGAAGAAGGAAGAAGAGAAGAGAAGAGAGGUUAACAACUCCAAAAAAAAGGCGACCUAGGAAAGGCAUUGAGCAUCGAUGGAGCAACAUAGUGAAUCCGCAGCUGGUUCGUCGCUUCGCACGUUUUACUUCGCAAGUAUCAAGUUAUCGGACUCUUGUAAAUGAUUUUAGUUCGCGUACGAUUUUAGUGUAGUAUCGCGAGUGUUUUUUGCGAGUGUGCAACAGAAGGAGGAGAAGAAAGAAGAGGCUUGCCAAUUAUUCUGAGAGGAGGAGGAGACCUGGGAGAGGCAUCGGGCCUCAGCGGAGCAACCUUGGGUAUCAUCGCAGCUUCGUGGCUGAAUAACUCCGCUCGUUGCGCAUCGGAUCGG